GUGCUGGUCGAGCUGCACUCUGGAUCUCUACAGCGCCGGCAUGCAGAACCUCUGGUAGAACUCAGGAUGUUUAACUGGGUGGUGAAGGUGGUCCCUCAGCCCGCCGCGGCGCCGGAGGAGGCGGCGAAGACCUCUGCUGCGCACGAAGCUCCGAAGAGCAAAGAAGUGAAGAAUUCGGUUCUGAAGACGACGGAGGAGGUCUCAGAGGACGGCCAGCUGCAGGCCGGAGUGAUGGGCUGGCUCUCCAACGGGUUCUCCAGCGCCCUGCCGCAGCCCCCCGGAACCGGCCGGCUCAGCCGGGCCAACUCCGACGCCAGGCAGCCAGGAGAAGAUGGAGAAAGGUCUGGGGUCAUCGGCUGGGUCGCUCAGGGUCUGACGAAAGUUCUGCCUCAACCAGAUGCAAAAUAUAAAGAAGAGGAGGAACCCAGAACCAAUGAGGAACACACGGAGGUCUAUGAGGUGGCGACCAUGCCAGAUUACGACCCCCUUCCCCACAUUCCGGUGGUGGAGCUGGUAUCGGAGGAUGAAGCGUCUGAAGUGGAGAGUCUGACUCCUCACUUUCCACCCAAGGUGGUCAACUGGAUCAAGCAGAUCAUCCCUCAGCCCGUGAUCCUGCCCCCCGGCGCCGUCCCGUCCGAACCGCCGCCCAAAGCCUCCCGCUCUUCUCUAGACAAACUUGUGUCUCCUCCACCUGAAUCUCUCAGUGCAAUCUCUCUGGACACGGACAACAAGCCCUCAGGGGUGGUGGACUGGUUUGUGUCCGGACUGGGUCUGAAGAUGCCUCAGCUCGUUCUUCCACCUAAAGAUGAAGCAGAGGCUUCAGCUGAAGUCCUGAAAAAAGCUUCAUCUAAGCUCGACCCUGACAUGGUCUUAGAGGAUCUGGAGUCAGACAACGAGGUCCAGCAGAAACACGAGGACCGAACCAAAGCUGCAUCCCUGAGUCCAUCCAUAAAACCGCCACAGCGUGAAGAGGCGCCGCCGACGCAGCCGAACCCCCAGAAGUCUGAAGCUUCAUCGGACGGCGCGCAGAAAGGCUCCCAGGAGGACGCGGAGACCCAGACGGGCCGCUGGACGCCGUUCAUCGAGAGCAUCAAGAAGGAGGCUGAGGACGUUGCCCUGGCAACCAUGGAGGAGCGUUUGCUGCAGGAGCGGAUAGAGAUGGCCCGUCUGGCGGAGGAGGUGGCGCGGCAGACGGCUGAGAUGGCCGUCAGGCAGAUGGCCAGCGAGGGAACCUCCAUCAAACUCUCACUGGAGAGUCAAGAACUCCUGGAGGAGCCGGAGGCCGAGUAAGUCAUAGUGGAGAGGUCUGGAACUGAGUCUGUGUGAAGAGGAGUGAAGCUGAAAGUUCUCUGUGGACAGGUUACCAGAGGAGGAGGUGCAGGAGCAGGAGGAGCAGGAGGAGGUCACGGGGUGAGAAUGCAAACAACAAUUUGGGUUACUAACUUAACAAAAAGCUCAAAUACAAUGAAAAACUAAUGAUUGAUAGAAAAUCAUAAAACUUUUACUGUAAUUAUGUAGACAACAAAAA
rnacentral:lncRNA from 1 species